rnacentral:rRNA from 1 species
UAAGGAAUAUUGGUCAAUGGAGGCAACUCUGAACCAGCCAUGCCGCGUGCAGGAAGAAGGCGCUACGCGUUGUAAACUGCUUUUGUAUGGGAGAAAACCCCGGUACGUGUACCGGGUUGAUAGUACCAUAAGAAUAAGCAUCGGCUAACUUCGUGCCAGCAGCCGCGGUAAGACGAAGGAUGCAAGCGUUAUCCGGAUUCAUUGGGUUUAAAGGGUGCGUAGGCGGCCUUGUAAGUCAGUGGUGAAAUCUCUCAGCUUAACUGAGAAACUGCCAUUGAUACUGCAAGGCUCGAGUACAGAUGAUGUUGGCGGAAUAUGACAUGUAGCGGUGAAAUGCAUAGAUAUGUCAUAGAACACCGAUUGCGAAGGCAGCUGACAAAACUGUAACUGACGCUGAGGCACGAAAGUGUGGGGAUCAAACAGG